UGAUGAUGCAACGGACCCGUCGUCUGU
rnacentral:sRNA from 1 species